GAAAUAGUGACACUGUGGAGGAGAGGAGGAGAGAAAUAGUGACACUGUGGAGGAGAGGAGGAGAGAAAUAGUGACAGACUGGAGGAGAGGAGGAGAGAAAUAGUGACACUGUGGAGGAGAGGAGGAGAAAACAAGAGAGAAUGAAUGAGGAGAGAGAUGGGCAAAAACAGAGUGAGGACUUUCAGGAGGGGAAAGGAAGAACGAGAGGGGGAAGUAGAAUAAGAGAGGUAUUGAAGGAAGGAUGAACGCUCUUCAGAAGAUCCAGGGACGGACAGACCAGAUGUUGGGUGCUGUUGCUGAAAUGCUGACUUACUUGGCAUUGCCCAAUCAACUGUGGUUUGCAGAGAACAGUGAUGUAGCAGCAGAGCCCACAGUGAGCCAAGGGAAGAAGAGGGGUUAGCAGGUUCAGGUUCAGGUCCAGCACAGUGGAAACCGGCUGGGCUAGAGGACUGGGAGCAGGGGUCCUCCUCCCAAGACAACCUGGAGAGGAAAGAAGGACGAGACAGAACAGGUGAACCGAACCAGUCUGAGGUCUUGAGCGCUCUGGAGCAGAUUUUCAUCAAGGAUCUCUCUGUGCUUUGCUCCGUUCAUCUUUCCCUUGAUCCUGACUAGUCUCCCAGUCACUGCCUAUGAAAACAUCUCCCACAGCAUGACGCUGCCUCCACCAUGCUCCACCGUAGGGAUGGUGCCAGGUUUCUUCCAGACAUGAUGGUUGGCAUUCAGGCCAAAGAGUUCAAUCUUGGUUUCAUCAGACCAGAGAAUCUUGUUUCUCAUGGUCUGAGAGUCCUUUAGGUGCCAUUUGGCAAACUCCAAGCGGGCUGUCAUGUGCCUUUACUGAGGAGUGGCUUCCGUCUGAUUGGUGGAGUGCUGCAGUGAUGGUUGUCCUUCUGGAAGGUUCUCCCAUCUCCACAGAGGAACUCUGGAGCUCUGUCAGAGUGACAAUCAGGUUCAUGGUCACCUCCCUGACCAAGGCCCUUCUCCCCCGAUUACUCAGUUUGGCCGGGUGGCCAGAUCUAGGAAGAGUCUUGGUGGUUCCAAUCUUCUUCCAUUUAAGAAUGAUGGAGGACACUGUGUUCUUGGGGACCUUCAAUGUUGCAGAAAUGUUUUGGUACCCUUCCCCAGAUCUGUGUAUGGACUAGUGUGUAUGUAGUGUAUUUUCCAGUAUGGGGUAUAUGUAGUCUGUAUUCCAGUAUGGGGUAUAUGUAGUGUUUUUUUCCAGUAUGG
rnacentral:lncRNA from 1 species